rnacentral:rRNA from 2 species
AGAGUUUGAUCCUGGCUCAGAACGAACGCUGGCGGCAGGCUUAACACAUGCAAGUCGAACGCACCGCAAGGUGAGUGGCAGACGGGUGAGUAACGCGUGGGAACGUGCCCUUCAGUUCGGGAUAACCCAGGGAAACUUGGGCUAAUACCGGAUACGUGCGAGAGCAGAAAGAUUUAUCGCUGAAGGAUCGGCCCGCGUCUGAUUAGCUAGUUGGUAGGGUAAUGGCCUACCAAGGCGACGAUCAGUAGCUGGUCUGAGAGGAUGAUCAGCCACAUUGGGACUGAGACACGGCCCAAACUCCUACGGGAGGCAGCAGUGGGGAAUAUUGGACAAUGGGCGCAAGCCUGAUCCAGCCAUGCCGCGUGAGUGAUGAAGGCCUUAGGGUUGUAAAGCUCUUUCGGCGGGGACGAUAAUGACGGUACCCGCAGAAGAAGCCCCGGCUAACUUCGUGCCAGCAGCCGCGGUAAUACGAAGGGGGCUAGCGUUGUUCGGAAUCACUGGGCGUAAAGGGCGCGUAGGCGGCCUGAUAAGUCGGGGGUGAAAGCCUGUGGCUCAACCACAGAAUUGCCUUCGAUACUGUCGGGCUUGAGACCGGAAGAGGUCAGUGGAACUGCGAGUGUAGAGGUGAAAUUCGUAGAUAUUCGCAAGAACACCAGUGGCGAAGGCAGCUGACUGGUCCGGUUCUGACGCUGAGGCGCGAAAGCGUGGGGAGCAAACAGGAUUAGAUACCCCCGUAGUCC